rnacentral:rRNA from 1 species
AUUGAACGCUGGCGGCAUGCUUUACACAUGCAAGUCGAACGGCAGCGCGGGCUUCGGCCUGGCGGCGAGUGGCGAACGGGUGAGUAAUACAUCGGAACGUGCCCAGUAGUGGGGGAUAGCUCGGCGAAAGCCGGAUUAAUACCGCAUACGACCUGAGGGUGAAAGCGGGGGAUCUUCGGACCUCGCGCUAUUGGAGCGGCCGAUGGCAGAUUAGCUAGUUGGUGGGGUAAAGGCCUACCAAGGCGACGAUCUGUAGCUGGUCUGAGAGGACGACCAGCCACACUGGGACUGAGACACGGCCCAGACUCCUACGGGAGGCAGCAGUGGGGAAUUUUGGACAAAGGGCGAAAGCCUGAUCCAGCAAUGCCGCGUGUGUGAUGAAGGCCUUCGGGUUGUAAAGCACUUUUGGCGGGAACGAAAAGGACUGUGCCAAUACCACGGUUCGAUGGCGGUACCCGCAGAAUAAGCACCGGCUAACUACGUG